rnacentral:rRNA from 1 species
GACGAACGCUGGCGGCGUGGAUUAGGCAUGCAAGUCGAACGGUAUCAUCCUUUCGGGGGUGAGAGAGUGGCGAACUGGUGAGUAACACGUAGGUUAUCUACCCUCAAGACGGGGACAACCCAGGGAAACUUGGGCUAAUACCGGAUGUGAGCAACUUUUAGUUGUUUGAAAGGUGGCGUAAGCUGUCGCUUGGGGAUGAGCCUGCGUCCUAUUAGUUAGUUGGUGAGGUAACGGCUCACCUAGGCAAUGAUAGGUAGGCGGCCUUAACGGGGUGGUCGCCCACACUGGGAUUGAGAUACGGCCCAGACUCCUACGGGAGGCAGCAGUCGAGAAUAGUCUACAAUGGUCGGAAGACUGAUAGUGCGACGCCGCGUGAACGAUGAAUCCCUUCGGGGUGUAAAGUUCUUUUAUAUGUGAGCAGUGCUUCUUAUAUUAACAGUAUGGGGAGAGAGAUAUUAGCAUAUGAAUAAGCAACGGCUAACUCCGUGCCAGCAGCCGCGGU